rfam:TPA: Bos taurus chromosome 13, whole genome shotgun sequence.
UGGCUCAGAGGGUAAAGCGUCUGCCUGCAAUGCAGGAGACCCAGGUUCAAUCCCUGG